rnacentral:rRNA from 1 species
AUUGAACGCUGGCGGCAUGCCUUACACAUGCAAGUCGAACGGUAACGCGGGGCAACCUGGCGACGAGUGGCGAACGGGUGAGUAAAGCAUCGGAACGUGCCCAGUAGUGGGGGAUAGCCCGGCGAAAGCCGGAUUAAUACCGCAUACGACCUAUGGGUGAAAGGGGGGAUCGCAAGACCUCUCGCUAUUGGAGCGGCCGAUGUCAGAUUAGGUAGUUGGGGGGGUAAAGGCCUACCAAGCCGACGAUCUGUAGCUGGUCUGAGAGGACGACCAGCCACACGGGGACUGAGAAACGGCCCCGACUCCUACGGGAGGCAGCAGUGGGGAAUUUUGGACAAUGGGCGCAAGCCUGAUCCAGCCAUGCCGCGUGCGGGAAGAAGGCCUUCGGGUUGUAAACCGCUUUUGUCAGGGAAGAAAUCCUUUGGGUUAAUACCUCGGGGGGAUGACGGUACCUGAAGAAUAAGCACCGGCUAACUACGUGCCAGCAGCCGCCGUAA